UAGUUCCUGGAGUAUAAACCCCUAUGUUUGCUUUAUGGAACCAUCACUGAAUUGGAACUAGUACCUUUCUCAGCAUAUGAUACUUCACAACCCAGAAUCCAGUCUAGAGGAAAAGUCAGUGACAGUGAGCUCUGGUCCCUGGGGAAGGCAACAGAACUUAAGAAAACACUUCAAAAUGGAGAAGCAGCAGAGAGAUCUUCCUCUGCUAAUGAGACCAAAAUGGAAAACUAUGACAACUGAGGUUUGAAGAUAUUUGCAUGGGAUCACCAUGCUUGACUGUGGCAGAGCAGAGACCGAAAUUAAAGUCUUUCUGCCUCCAAAGACUGGCGCUAAAUCAUGAUGCUGACUCGUGCACAAAUUAUUUUCUAAAUAUUAUGUCUGUUUGCACACUUUCCACAUUACAGUGAGGGCAUCUUUACAUAUAGUUAAGAUAGAGAUGCUGCCUGUUAGAUUUAAUGAAGUUUAACCAUCCUUUUAUAAUAAUUUGGAGCUAUCUUCAAAUUAAACUCAAUGUAAUAGACAUGUCUAUUUAUGUAUGCAGGUCAUACUAAUGUAUGCAGGUCAGGAAGCAACAGUUAGAACUGGACAUGGA